UCCCAGUCUUACAACAUGUACGCCAAAUCAUUAGAUAUAUAGUUAUGCGAAGUUUAUUGCAUUUGACAUGUCAAACCAAGUGCCUAGAUUAGUAAUGCGAAGUUUUGCCAACCAGUAGCUCGGAUGGAUGGAAAGUGAAAUAAGAACAAGAAUUACGAUUAAAUCAUGAUGUCGUGAUAUUAAAUGUCAAAAUUAUUUCAAAGCUGAUGAUAUACUUUUGUUAGAAUUAUCCACUGCAAUAUAUUAUAAACAACAAUUAUAUAUAGAUGUAACUAAUAUGCUUGUGUGUAAUGGUUGCUUGUCCUUGUUUUGCACUCAGUAGUACCUUCAAUAUAGUUCAUGAUUGUUGCACGACAUGUUGUAGGACCCAAAGACCAAAGAUUGGUGAUUAACGUUUGGUGGAAAACUGGUUGGAUACUGGCCAAGUUCAAUUUUUUUUGGGUAUAAUGGAUAAAGUUGGCAAAGCAGCUUGGGGUGGAUUUGUCUAGGGCCUGACGGCUCAAUUAAACUUUCCUGAAAUGGGCAGUGGGCAUUUUGCGAAGGAAGGGUUCGGAAAAGCAGCUUUUAUGAAGGAUAUUAAAAUUGUAGAUGAGAAUAAUAAGUAUGUCACACCAAAUAUGGACAAAACAAUUGUUGGUAGUACACAAGGUUGUUACUCGGUUGACAAUUUGGGUCACGAUUAUGGUGGCAUGCAUGUAUUUUACGGUGGACCAGGAGGAUGUAAAACUUAGCUAGUUAGCAGUUCUAGCGACCUAAUGUCAGGUUUAAUAAAUAAUGAUGUGAUUAUAUGGAGUUUCACUUCAACAUAAGCUGUUGGUUUUGAUAUCUAGCAUGCCCCAACUUGCUUGGGACAAAAGGCUUAGUUGUUGUUGUAUAUGGCGUUCGUUUUGAACCAAUUUGUGUGUGGAGUCUAAUGCUAUGGAGUUUCACUUCAACAUAAGGUGUUGGUUUUGAGCCAAUACAAUUUGGUACAACGAAGUCAAUGUUUGCAUGAAAAAAAUUUGAAAGUUGUUGCCUAACAGUGAAGUUGGCAAGCAAUUGCUAUGAACUCCAUGAAUACCCUUUAGUUUGAACCUUAUAACCAUAGAGAUGACUGAUCCACAUUUAGCGAUCCGGCAAACACCAGCGCUCGAACCCGAACCCUGCAGCGGAGACGCUGUUGACCGCGUCGGCGGCGGAGCAGUGGGUUGCUGCUACUGCCGAGGUCCACCGCGACGACGCUGCUCCCAGAGUCCACCGAGCCCUUCGAUCCAGAGGCGGUUUUGCGCGCGGCUGCGCUUGUGCUUCGUUGGGGAGAAUAGGUCGAUGACGGCGGACGGGGUGGCGGGGUGGUGAGGGCCGGCGGGAAGAGAAAAGGAUUGGGCUAGGGCGGUGGGGAGAGAAAUUGACGAGAGCAGCGGCCAAGCCCGAGGAGAGAGGGCGGAUCGGGGCGGCGCCGAUGGGGGAGCUCAGGGGGCGGCGGGAGAUCUCGGGAGCCGACGACAGGAGAUCUCGGUGGGCUGCUGCUGCUGCUGCGGAGGUCCGGAUGGGCGCGGCGGGAUGAGGCGCACGAGGAGGAGGCCGUGGUGGGAGGCGGUGGGCUGCUGGUCUGCUGCGGAGGAGGAGGACCGCGACGUGUGCGGCGGGAGGAGGCGAGCGGCCGGCUCUGACGUCGAAUUACAUUUCCAUCAGGUCAGGUGGCCUCUCUUCGUUCGUCUGGUCGUCCUUGGCUUGCCCGGCGGCUGGCCCCCGUCCUCUUCCUCCUCGACGACAACCCUGCCUCGCCGUCCACUGCGCUGGCAUCGAUCCGUCUCGUCGUCCAUUCCGGCCCUGUCUCUCUUCUCUCCAUGCAUUCCACCGGGUUGGGGAGCUUUGCCCCCUCUCCCCAAACCCACCACCACACAGCAAUAAUAUAUAAAUCCGUCGACGGCAAGCAAGCGCAGAUCCAUUACAAGAGAGCGCGAUGUCGUCCAUGAGGUCUACUGGGGGUAUCCCAGAUAGCAGCUAGGCCGUCUGAAGGGCGACAGGCCUGUCGGCAGGAGCCCCCAUCACGAUCGUCGUGUGCGGUUUGUGGUUGCAGCGGUCACGCUCGGAGUUUGCGUAUAUUUCACGGUGAAAUUCGUCCGGCGUAUAAAGACACGCGGUGAACCCGCCGUUGAAAUGGUUGACGAAUAUUGCUUGCCGCGGAUGAAGACACGGUCGCGCUCGCGGCGGUCUUCUGAACACAUGUUUCUCAAGCAGUCGUCUUCAAUGCAAUGUAUGAUAUACUAAUUUAUAAAUCAUGUAAAUACCAUUUUACAUUACAUAUCAAUAAAUUGUGUAAAUACCGUUUUUACGGCCAUGUAUGACCUUUAUAUAUAAUAAUUUGCGAAAUUACCAUGAA